rnacentral:rRNA from 1 species
AACGAACGCUGGCGGCAUGCCUAACACAUGCAAGUCGAACGAAGGCUUCGGCCUUAGUGGCGCACGGGUGCGUAACGCGUGGGAAUCUGCCCCUCGGUUCGGAAUAACACAGAGAAAUUUGUGCUAAUACCGGAUGAUGACGAAAGUCCAAAGAUUUAUCGCCGAGGGAUGAGCCCGCGUAGGAUUAGCUAGUUGGUGAGGUAAAGGCUCACCAAGGCGACGAUCCUUAGCUGGUCUGAGAGGAUGAUCAGCCACACUGGGACUGAGACACGGCCCAGACUCCUACGGGAGGCAGCAGUGGGGAAUAUUGGACAAUGGGCGAAAGCCUGAUCCAGCAAUGCCGCGUGAGUGAUGAAGGCCUUAGGGUUGUAAAGCUCUUUUACCAGGGAUGAUAAUGACAGUACCUGGAGAAUAAGCUCCGGCUAACUCCGUGCCAGCCGCCGCAGUAA